GCAAUUGAAGGCAUGAUCCAAAGCGUGGUGAAGUCGGUGGGAGUCUUUCCAUUGACUUUAAUGGGCUUUGGAUCAAGCCUUCAGUUG
ensembl:miRNA